GUCUUUAUAGUUUAUAUAAAAUAUUAGUCUUGUAAACUAAAGUAGAAUUCUCUAAAGACU
rnacentral:tRNA from 1 species